rnacentral:rRNA from 1 species
UUCCUACGGGAGGCAGCAGUAGGGAAUAUUGGGCAAUGGGCGAAAGCCUGACCCAGCAACGCCGCGUGCACGAUGAAGGUCUUCGGAUCGUAAAGUGCUUUUCUGAGAGAUGAGAAAGGACAGUAUCUCAGGAAUAAGUCUCGGCUAACUACGUGCCAGCAGCCGCGGUAACACGUAGGAGGCAAGCGUUAUCCGGAUUUACUGGGCGUAAAGCGCGUGCAGGUGGUUCGGUAAGUUGGAUGUGAAAGCUCCUGGCUCAACUGGGAGAGGUCGUUCAAUACUACCGGACUUGAGAGCAGUAGAGGGAGGUGGAAUUCCCGGUGUAGUGGUGAAAUGCGUAGAUAUCGGGAGGAACACCAGUGGCGAAAGCGGCCUCCUGGACUGUUUCUGACACUCAGACGCGAAAGCUAGGGGAGCGAACGGGAUUAGAUACCCGGGUAGUCCGC